GAUUACAGCUUCCCGAGCUAUAGGAUUUGUUGGUUUUGGCACCUCAAAUUUGAUCUACUACAGUAAAGAUCAAAUGCGGAGAAGCCCAGCAUGUAGUGCACGACAAAGAAGGUCCGGCCCGCAGGUGUGCAAGCCUGCAGGCGCUGCCCACUGGCAUGCAAGGCCGACAGGCAUGUAGGCCUGCAGUAGUGUAUGCAAUCCAGCACGGGACAUGUGGCCCAGGCA
rnacentral:lncRNA from 1 species